rnacentral:rRNA from 1 species
AGUGAACGCUGGCGGUAGGCCUAACACAUGCAAGUCGAACGGCAGCACAGUAAGAGCUUGCUCUUACGGGUGGCGAGUGGCGGACGGGAGAGGAGUACAUCGGAAUCUACUUUUUCGUGGGGGAUAACGUAGGGAAACUUACUCUAAUACCGCAUACGACCUACGGGGGAAAGCAGUGGAUCUUCUGACCUUGCGCGAUUGUAUGAGCCGAUGUCGGAUUAGCUAGUUGGCGGGUGAAAGGCCCACCAAGGCGACGAUCCGUAGCUGGUCUGAGUGGCUGAUCAGCGACACUGGAACUGAGACACGGUCCAGACUCCUACGGGAGGCAGCAGUGGGGAAUAUUGGACAAUGGGCGCAAGCAUGAUCCAGCCAUAGCGCGUGGGUGAAGAAGGCCCUCGGGUUGUAAAGACCUUUUGUUGGGUAAGAACCGCAGCAGGUUAAUACCCAGCUGUUCUGACGGUACCCAAUGAAUAAGCACCGGCUAACUUCGUG